rnacentral:lncRNA from 1 species
CCUGCUGCUCCUGGGAGGGGCUCAGGCCAUUUGAUUCUGCCUGGUGGGUUCAGGGCUGCCUGGCUAGCCACCAAGACACGGGAGAGCAAAGCCCGGCCAAACCCAGGGGCAGUGGUGUCCAGCAGGCAUCAGGACAUGCCGUGGCCCACACAUGCCCUUCUCCACAGGUGCCAUCAUCUCCUUUCUUCUCCUGUUAGUGAUGGCUUCAUUGGCCUCAGGUGACACCGCCUUCUAGCCCAGGCCACUGGAUCCAGCCAGAGCGUCUGUGCAUCGCCCCAGGGAGGUGUGGGGAGGCUCGGCCCCACCUGGCAAGUUUAUAGGCUGCUUGAGGACAUAAGAUGGGUACAGAAGAGGCUUCAGGGCUCAGCAGAUGCUGUGCUGGGAGUGAGCCCAGGCAAGGUGGCCCAGGGACAGAAGAUGGAAGGUCAGUCGUGGCCUCCUUCCAGAAGGAAAGAGAUUUUAGCAGGAAGAGACAGGCAAGGAAAGGAAUUGGUUUUUCAGGCAGAGCGGUACUUUUUUAAAUUGACAAAUUUUAAGCAUACAGAAAAGUAGAGAGGACGAACCUCCAAACAUCAGCCCUUAGAUUCCAGUACAUCCUGCCUUGGUAGCUGACGUCACGAACGCUGUGACCUGUCCCUCUGCACUCCAUCAUAGCAUCUCUAAAACGGAGGACAUUUCCUACCUCAGCACAACUUCAUUAUCACAAAAGAGAACAUUUUGAGCAAAAGUUUGGAAGCAGGCAAAAGUAGGGUUUGUUCUGGAAUGGCAUGAAUGAAUGAGUCAUGGGCUGGACCCGGCCCCGCAGAAAGAGCAGAGGAGGCCGUCUCUGGUGUAGGAGUUGAAGCCAAGACUCAGCAUGCAGGACAAGGAGCCCAGCCUGGUGGCAUGGGCUGUGGCUUCUCCAGUGGGCCCAUAGGAAUGGCCCUGGGGCUGGGACUUGUGGGGACGGCGGCCACAAGAGGAGGAUCUUCAGCAUGGCCUGACAGCACCUGUAAUGUAGGCAGGCAAUGGGCUCCUCCAGGUGGCAGGAACACUGUGAGGAGCAUGCAACGUGCUGGAGACCAUGGGGCAUGUGACCUCCGGGCACACCCUGGACAGACCUGGGUGAGAGGUGGGCUGGGACGCCAGGACGGUGAGGGGCUUCAAGGUGUGUUUGUCCUUUGUCCUUAUACAGGUGACCUGCAUGGGCGGGUGAGGUCCAUCAGAAUGCUCUAGAACAGGACAACUGAGGUCCCGGCUGCCCCGCUCAACACGCCAUGAUUCCUAGACUGCCCUGAGAGGUCAGGUUUUAAAUAGGGUGUGGCCCGGCAAGGACCCUGAGGGAUGUGAGGCCAGACAGCUCCUUGGUGGCCGCCUGCACGGGAAGCUGAGUGGCCCUUUGGAACAGGAAGUGCCUUGUCCAAGUUAACCCGGGCCCGGGCCCACCUUGGACUCCCUCUGGAGAGAACGGCUGGCCUGUUCGCCUCCUUUCUCCUUCCUUCCAAAAUAACAUGUCCAGGUCCCUUGGUAAGAAUGCUGCAGCUGGGGUCAGUCUCCAAACUGGAGUUUGGUGGCUAAAAUGCCCGCCUUUCUGCCCCCAAUUUCACACAUGGAUGAUGGUCCUGGUUCAGCAGGGAAGAUUCUCUUGGACCCGUGUCUGCUGGUUGGGAAGUGGAGAAAGCCGCCCUGUUCUGCCUCCAUUUUGAAACGUCUUUUCUGUUCGGAGGACUAAAGGAAGCCAGAGCUGGUUCAGAUGUUCAUGAGCACCUGUGCCAGCCCCUGCCCGUCACACUUGAGGACACCAAGGCUGUGGUCUGUGCAGUGAAUCGGGGCAGUGGGGGGACUUCAUGGUUAGAAACACAAGCUGGAGGCCGGAUGCGGUGGCUCCUGCCUGUAAUCCCUGCACUUUGGGAUGCCUGAGGUCAGGAGUUCAAGACCAGCCUGGCCAACAUGGUGAAACCCUGUCUCUACUACAAAUACGAAAAUUAGCUGGGCGUGGUGGUGGGCACCUGUAAUCCCAGCUACUCGGGAGGCUGAGGCAGGAGAAUCGCUUGAACCCGGGAGGUGGAGGUUGCAGUGAGCCGAGAUCACACCAUUGCACUCCAGCCUGGGCGACAAGAGCAAAACUCCGUCUAAAAAAAAAAAAAAGAAAAGAAAAAGAAA